UUUGGAAAGGAAAGAUUUUAUCUUUCUUUCUCCACUAUGUACCAUAGAGGGAAAUCUGGGAGAGCCGACUUCAGUAAGGAUUCUUACUUUUUGCUGAUUUCUAUCAGUUUUCGCCAGAUCCUAUCUGCAGGCUCUGGAGUGAGUGGGGUGUCCCAGUGGAUCUCAUCUUGGUCACCAGAAACUGUAGAGGAAGAAAGAUUAUUUCUCCUUCACCCUUUAUGAAUUCCUGACCUGGAAUGAACAUCCAUCAAAAUUGUUUUUAAAGAUUCUCAUCCCUCUCUCAUCAAUCUGUUCUUCAUCUCAAGUGUGAAAGCCCUGGAAUGAGAUAACAAAAGCAAAAACUGAUACAACUUGGCCAAGUUCACAUCAUGUCCAAAAUGAUCUCACCCAUGAGCAAGUAAUUCUGUAAAAAAUAGGAAUGGCUGUUGUCCAUAAGAUGAUUCUACUUCAAGCUCUGCAGAAAGUCCAGAAACAAGGAAACACAAACUGCCUGGCUCCCAACUUGAAAUAAGAGGAAGAGGAAGAAAUAGAAGACAAACACCAACUAUUGUCUUAAAAAUGCUGUUCUAUCAUGUGUAUAUCACCAGGAUCUACAGCUUGAAUUAUAUACAGGUUCAUCAGUGUUGCACCUCUGAAAUCAUGUGGCAUAUGACAAGAAAGUCUCAUUACCUCAAGCCACCUGGAAGUGUGGCUAAUCAACCACGUCUCAGCUCCUGUGAGUUGGUGAUUAUACCUGAAAUGGAUGCCAGCAGGAUCCAUAAACAGCAGCUAGAUGAAGGAAUGAGGAGAUUCCAUUAGUGGGGUAAGCGGAAUAAAUAUUUUAAAACCGUUGGAGAAGAGUUUAAGAGGUCAGACAAAAAUACCUACAGCUGGAAAGUGAGUCUACCAUCUAUUCUGAAACUGAAGGAUAUAUAGAAUUUUUGGUUUAGGGAGUCUUUAAACUCAUCUAACUCAGAAAUCAUCAUGUAGAUUCUGUGGGUCCAUGGAGGGGCUUAAAGUUUUCUGGAAAUGUUUGAUUGGUAUUCCAUUUAUAAAUAGUGGGAUUUUUUUCUUUUUGUUUUUUUGUUGUUUUUUUUUUUUUUUGGUUUUGUUUUUGUUUUUGUUUUUUGCUAUCUGUAACACUGUAAUAAAAAACAGAAAGUAAACUUAAAUAUUAAAUAUAUUGUGUAAAUAUACUUAAAUAUAUUGUGAAGGGAUACCAAAUGGGUGUGUAAAAUACAACUUAACUUGAGAUCCUGACUUUCACAUAAGAUGGGACUCCACGGGGCCCAUCCUGGAGGAAUAUCUGUUAAACCCAGGUGAUGCUACACCCCUCCUCUGUUCAACAUCUACACUGGCUUCCCACUGUACUAUAGGGGCCUAACCCAGGCCCACAGGCGCUUCAGGACACACCCCUUACCUUGCCAACCUCAUUUCUCACCACGUUUUCUUUGCUCACAUAUUAGCCUCCUUGCUGCUCCUAGAAAGUAUCACCCUUGCUCCUAUCUGCCUGCAGUGUUUUUUCCAUAGGCACCACUGUAUUUUGCUUCCUCGCCUCCUUCAAGAAUUUGCUUAUAUGCCAUCUUGUGAAUGAGACCCUUCCUGACCACUGUAUUUAAAAAUUGACUCCCUGUCUCUAAGCCUCUAAUCCUCUUCUCUUACUCAUGUAUUCAUAUAUUUUCUCACCAUCUUACACACUGUGCAAUUCAGUGUUGUGUUUUAUUUUACUGUCUGGCAUCCCCCACUAGUGUGCAAGCUCUCCAAGACAAGGACAAGGGAAUUUGGUUCGCUUUAUUAUACCUAGAACCUCACCACAUCGAAGGUGCUUAGUAAAUCAUGUUGAAUAAAUGAAUACAGGGCUAGAUGAUCAGUGGAAUAAAAGAUCAAAUGCCACCUCAGAAAGGCCAGAGUAAGUGAUCAAAUUUUCUUUAUACAUUUGUGUCUGUGUUUGUGUAUUGUAACACUGAAUGUGUUAAAAUAUAUAUUGACACUUUUAUCUCUUAUUCCAAAUCGUUAUUGCAGUUUGUCUUAUACACACACAGGUGCCCAUGCAUUUAUUGAUCACUUGCUUAAAUACACACACACACGCACACACACACACACACACACGAAUCAUAUUCAAAUAUAGUCUAUAUUUGUUAAGCACCUUCUGUGGUCCAGACCUUAUACUGGGAUUGUUCAUCUCGUUUAACUCAAUUGAUCUGCAAAACAACUUACAAAGCUAUUAAGGUAUUUCAAUAGAAGUUAAACCCUGAAAGCAAGAGAAAGAGGGAUUUUAGAAUUCUCCACCUACCUUCUAGUCACUGCAAGGAUUUGACAGGUAUCAUAAAGGUAGAAAGUCCACAUAUUUGAGUAGACUCUUCCUUAUUCUAGUUCAACAGUCCUCAAACUGAAAUGGCAUUAAAUACAUCACACAGGGAUAUAUAUGGAAGAUCAUGUAUAAUCUACUCCAUAGGCAAAUAGGGAUUAUAAAGAGUAAUUUUUACUCAACCUGAUUUUUAGCUUAUUUUCUAAUUUAACCUGUUAAAAAUGUCACUUCAGUUUUGUCUUAACAUGAACCUCAUUGUGAUUGCAAGUUACCUGGUUUCUUUUUGCCUGAACUUCAGAAUACAGCUUCAACUGUCAUAUAUUUUUUUUAACUUUAUUUAUUUUUGAUAGAGAGAGAGCAAGAGUGAGCUAGGGAGGGGCAGAGA